rnacentral:tRNA from 1 species
CCGGGUGUAGCGCAGUCUGGUAGCGCAUCUGUUUUGGGAACAGAGGGUCGGGGGUUCAAAUCCCUCCACCCGGACCA